UGAUUUCCCCCAGUAAUCUAAGGAUGCUAUGAUCCUCAAACAUCAGCAUAAAAUGAGUAACCACUGCAAUUACUGAUUUUCAUGUCUACAACAGCAAACUACCAAUUAUUAGGGGAUUAACAAUUUUCUCCCGAAGUACUCUAUGAGCUUUCUCAAGGUUAACUAACAUCUGUCCUUAAAGUUCAUGCUGGUUCUGCAGCGAUGGAAGCCCAAGGAAUUGAAGGAGAGCAUGAAACCUUUGAGUUUGUGACAGGGUUUAUAGAAUUCCAAGGAAGCUCUGAUAGUUUGAAGGUUUGGAAUAGGGUUAAGAGACGUAUACCCAAGGUUCAUCUAGCUCUUGACAAUUUCAACAGGAAAUAUUGUAAUGGGAUUGGUUUCCCAUUUAAAAAGAGCAGCCCAGCUUGGUUCUUGUGUGCCAGGCUUGAUCCUUCUCACUUGGCUAACCCAAGGCCAAGGCUGACUCCAAGUCAAUUUCCCUCAAUACUAAAUGGUGUUUAUACCUGUGAGGCCUAAGCCCAGACUCCCAUAGUCUCUUGGGCUCCACCCACAACGCAUGCAUAUCUUAAUGAACACAUAACCACAUAUGUUAUAAUUCAAACCAUAAUACGUGCAUAGGCUCAUGAACACGUAGCCACGUCUGUUAUGAUGAACAUAUUUGUAUUUGAAUGCUAAUAAAUGUUAGGUCAGUUGUUAUGAGUUAAAUAAAUUGUCUUCAACCUUAUAAAACAAACAACUUUAAAAUUCUUUUUAAGUCUUAGCGCAAGUUGCUUUAGAGAAUUUUUUUCUUUUUUUCUUUUUUCUUUUAUUUCCAUUUCUUUUCUUUUAUUUAUUUAUUUUUAUUUUUUAAAAAACGCUAAGUAUUGCAUUUUGCUUUUGGUACAACACCAAAAUGUGGUACCCCAUGAAAGAUGGUCAUAUGUGAGAAAAAAAUUUUCAUUUCUUUAUAUUUUGGUAUAAUCUUAUUUCUUUAUAUCUAAGUCUUAUUUGUUGUAUCUAACUAAUACCAGAAAUUGUAUUUUAUUCAUAGUACUUCAACAUGUAUAUUGGAGAGCAUGUACACUAGAGUAUUUUUGUGCGAUUCACAUCACAUAACAAUCGCUUUGAGCUAUCUUGAAAUGUCUAGUUUAUUUAUAUUUUCCAUGUGUUUCGAGGUGUUUCCACUCCAUUUUGCUAAAUUUACAAAGUUCAUGCAAAAUGCAAUUGUUGGGACUUGAGCACAUAAAAAAUUAAAGUUGAAAAUCAAUGUUAUCACCCCAAAUCUACUAUACCCUUAGCUAUAUAGACUUAGCCUCUUAUCCGUUUUUCAACAAAUGAAGUCCCAAGUAGAAUCCAUACCCUAAUCAACAUUUAUGUAGAUAUGUAAUGACCCGCUC
rnacentral:lncRNA from 1 species